rnacentral:rRNA from 1 species
CCCUACGGGGCGCAGCAGGCGCGAAAACUCUACAAUGCAGGCAACUGCGAUAGGGGAACAUCGAGUGGCGUCCAUAUUGGAUGUCUGUCCAUCCGCCUAAAAAGCGGGUGUUAGCAAGGGCCGGGCAAGACCGGUGCCAGCCGCCGCGGUAAUACCGGCGGCUCGAGUGGUGGCCACUAUUACUGGGCUUAAAGCGUUCGUAGCUGGGUUGUUAAGUCUCUUGGGAAAUCUACCGGCUUAACCGAUAGGCGUCCAAGGGAUACUGGCAAUCUAGGGACCGGGAGAGGUGAGGGGUACUUCAGGGGUAGGAGUGAAAUCCUGUAAUCCA